rnacentral:pre_miRNA from 1 species
GGGUUGAUGGUUUCUGUAAAGUAAAUGCGUCUGAAAUGGAACUCUGCAGGUUCACAUCAGCCCUG